rnacentral:rRNA from 1 species
CCCUAUGGGGCGCACCAGGCCGAGCACCUCGCUUUCGUGAACCACGACGAUGGAUUCCAGGUUCGGCGUUGAGGUGAAGAGCGCCCCGACCUCCAGCACCUUGGCCUCGGCCUGCACGGAGAUGACCGGCCGCACCAGCAUCUCCACCGCCGGCGACUCGUCCUGCUCGCUGGGGCGCGGCUCUUUGCGGAACAGCUUGGAGGCAAUGGAGAACGGCGGCACCUCCACCGGCCGGCCGAAGUAAUAGCCCUGCAACAUGUCCACCCCGGGCUUGCGCAGGGUGGCGUACUCCCCCUCGGUUUCCACACCCUCGGUGAUCACCCGGCACCCCAAGGCGGUGGCGGUUUUCAGGAUCGUGGAGACGAACUGCUGCUUGGUGCGGUCCUGGUCGACCCCAUGGAUGAAUUGGCGGGGGAGC